CUCCCUGCUUUCUUCUCUCUCCUUUGCAAAAGCCCCUCCUGGACUCGGGCUAAACAAGUAGAUGAACUGCAGUGGUGCCCCGCAAGACAAAUGCCUCGCAAGAC